GAAUUCGAUUAGAGUUUGAUCAUGGCUCAGAUUGAACGCUGGCGGCAGGCCUAACACAUGCAAGUCGAGCGGUAGCACAGAGAGCUUGCUCUCGGGUGACGAGCGGCGGACGGGUGAGUAAUGUCUGGGAAACUGCCUGAUGGAGGGGGAUAACUACUGGAAACGGUAGCUAAUACCGCAUAAUGUCGCAAGACCAAAGAGGGGGACCUUCGGGCCUCUUGCCAUCAGAUGUGCCCAGAUGGGAUUAGCUAGUAGGUGGGGUAACGGCUCACCUAGGCGACGAUCCCUAGCUGGUCUGAGAGGAUGACCAGCCACACUGGAACUGAGACACGGUCCAGACUCCUACGGGAGGCAGCAGUGGGGAUAUUGCACAAUGGGCGCAAGCCUGAUGCAGCCAUGCCGCGUGUAUGAAGAAGGCCUUCGGGUUGUAAAGUACUUUCAGCGGGGAGGAAGGCGAUAAGGUUAAUAACCUUGUCGAUUGACGUUACCCGCAGAAGAAGCACCGGCUAACUCCGUGCCAGCAGCCGCGGUAAUACGGAGGGUGCAAGCGUUAAUCGGAAUUACUGGGCGUAAAGCGCACGCAGGCGGUCUGUCAAGUCGGAUGUGAAAUCCCCGGGCUCAACCUGGGAACUGCAUUCGAAACUGGCAGGCUAGAGUCUUGUAGAGGGGGGUAGAAUUCCAGGUGUAGCGGUGAAAUGCGUAGAGAUCUGGAGGAAUACCGGUGGCGAAGGCGGCCCCCUGGACAAAGACUGACGCUCAGGUGCGAAGGCGUGGGGAGCAAACAGGAUUAGAUACCCUGGUAGUCCACGCCGUAAACGAUGUCGACUUGGAGGUUGUGCCCUUGAGGCGUGGCUUCCGGAGCUAACGCGUUAAGUCGACCGCCUGGGGAGUACGGCCGCAAGGUUAAAACUCAAAUGAAUUGACGGGGGCCCGCACAAGCGGUGGAGCAUGUGGUUUAAUUCGAUGCAACGCGAAGAACCUUACCUACUCUUGACAUCCAGAGAACUUUCCAGAGAUGGAUUGGUGCCUUCGGGAACUCUGAGACAGGUGCUGCAUGGCUGUCGUCAGCUCGUGUUGUGAAAUGUUGGGUUAAGUCCCGCAACGAGCGCAACCCUUAUCCUUUGUUGCCAGCGGUUAGGCCGGGAACUCAAAGGAGACUGCCAGUGAUAAACUGGAGGAAGGUGGGGAUGACGUCAAGUCAUCAUGGCCCUUACGAGUAGGGCUACACACGUGCUACAAUGGCGCAUACAAAGAGAAGCGACCUCGCGAGAGCAAGCGGACCUCAUAAAGUGCGUCGUAGUCCGGAUUGGAGUCUGCAACUCGACUCCAUGAAGUCGGAAUCGCUAGUAAUCGUAGAUCAGAAUGCUACGGUGAAUACGGUCCCGGGCCUUGUAG
rnacentral:rRNA from 1 species